rnacentral:rRNA from 1 species
UACGUAGGGUGCAAGCGUUGUCCGGAAUUUAUUGGGCGUAAAGAGCUCGUAGGCGGUUUGUUGCGUCGGCUGUCGAAAUCCCGAGGCUCAACCUCGGGUCUGCAGUCGAUACGAGCAAACUAGAGUGUUGCAGGGGAGACUGGAAUUCCUGGUGUAGCGGUGAAAUGCGCAGAUAUCAGGAGGAACACCGGUGGCGAAGGCGGGUCUCUGGGCAACAACAUGACGCUGGAGGAGCGAAAGCGUCGGGGAGCGAACAGG